rnacentral:rRNA from 1 species
GAUGAACGCUGGCGGCGUGCCUAAUACAUGCAAGUCGAGCGAACAGACGAGGAGCUUGCUCCUCUGACGUUAGCGGCGGACGGGUGAGUAACACGUGGAUAACCUACCUAUAAGACUGGGAUAACUUCGGGAAACCGGAGCUAAUACCGGAUAAUAUAUUGAACCGCAUGGUUCGAUAGUGAAAGACGGUUUUGCUGUCACUUAUAGAUGGAUCCGCGCCGCAUUAGCUAGUUGGUAAGGUAACGGCUUACCAAGGCAACGAUGCGUAGCCGACCUGAGAGGGUGAUCGGCCACACUGGAACUGAGACACGGUCCAGACUCCUACGGGAGGCAGCAGUAGGGAAUCUUCCGCAAUGGGCGAAAGCUUGACGGAGCAACGCCGCGUGAGUGAUGAAGGUCUUCGGAUCGUAAAACUCUGUUAUUAGGGAAGAACAAAUGUGUAAGUAACUAUGCACGUCUUGACGGUACCUAAUCAGAAAGCCACGGCUAACUACGUG